rnacentral:rRNA from 1 species
AUUGAACGCUGGCGGCAGGCCUAACACAUGCAAGUCGAACGAGUGGCGGACGGGUGAGUAAUGUCUGGGAAACUGCCUGAUGGAGGGGGAUAACUACUGGAAACGGUAGCUAAUACCGCAUACCAUCAGAUGUGCCCAGAUGGGAUUAGAGAGUUGGUGGGUUAACGGCUCACCAAGGCGACGAUCCCUAGCUGGUCUGAGAGGAUGAACAGCCACACUGGAACGGGGUCACGGUCCAGACUCCGACGUGAGGCAGCAGGGGGGAAUAUUGCACAAUGGGCGCAAGCCUGCUGCAGCCAUGCGGGGUGUAUGAAGAAGGCCUUCGGGUUGUAAAGUACUUUCAGCGGGGAGGCGUUACCCGAAGAAGAAGCACCGGCUAACUACGUGCCAGCAGCCGCGGUAAUUC